GGGGGGGGCGCCCACAAAGGGGGGGGGAGUUAAAAGGANAGGAUUUCCUUUGGGGAAACUCGGGAGGAACAUUUAAGAGUUUCAGAACCCCCUCAAAACAUUUUGGACCUACCCCUUUUACCUUUGUUUUGGGGGGGGGGGGAAGGGGCCCCCGGCCCCCCCCGGGGGGCCGCCCGAGGAUAACCCAAACUCUUGACAAUAGUGGCCUCUCUGAGCAUUCUUUACUGAAUAAGUCAAAACUUUCAACAACCGAUCUCUUGGGUCUGGCAUCGAUGAAGAAAGCAGCGAAAUGCGAUAAAUAAAGUGAAAUGCAGAAAUCAGUGAAUCAUCGAAUCUCUGAACCCACAAUGCGCCCGCCAGUAUUCUGGCGGGCAUGCCUGUUCGAGCGUCAUUUCAACCAUCAAGCCCCCGGGCUUGUGUUGGGGACCUGCGGCUGCCCGCAGGCCCUGAAAACCAGUGGCGGGCUCGCUAGUCACACCGAGCGUAGUAGCAUACAUCUCGCUAAGGGCGUGCUGCGGGUUCCGGCCGUUAAACAGCCUCUGCGCUACACCCAAGGUUGACCUCGGAUCAGGUAGGAAGACCCGCUGAACUUUAGCAUAUCAUUCAGCGGGAGGACUCCGCAGUUCCCCUUCGGG
rnacentral:rRNA from 1 species